UACGGAAGGGGCAAGCGUUGUUCGGAAUCAUUGGGCGUAAAGGGCGCGUAGGUGGUUCUGUGUGUCUACCGUGAAAGCGUACGGCUCAACCGUAUUUUGUCGGUAGAAACUGCAGGACUUGAGGCUGGGAGGGGCUGGUGGAAUUCCCUGUGUAGCGGUGAAAUGCGUAGAUAUAGGAAGGAACACCAGUGGCGAAGGCGACCACCUGGACUGAUACUGACACUGAGGUGCGAAAGCGUGGGGAGCAAACAGG
rnacentral:rRNA from 1 species